rnacentral:rRNA from 1 species
GAAAGAUGAAAAGAAUUUUGAAAAGAAAGUCAAACAGUACGUGAAAUUGUUGAAAGGGAAACGAUUGAAGCCAGUCGUACCGACGGGAAUUCAACUUCUCGAGUGCUAAUCGUGGGUGACGUUGAGCCUCACGGCCUUCGUUGCUUGUGUUGUUGGUGCUUUUGGGGUGUACUUUUCCGUAUUGGUAGGUCAGCAUCGAUUUCGAUCGCCAUAAAAUGAUCGGGGGAAUGUAGCUUCGGUCUCGUAUCGGAGUGUUAUA